rnacentral:ncRNA from 1 species
ACCUUAUAUAGAUGUAGUAACGCAAGACAGUUGCGCAUCUCCCUGUAAGGUGAUGUUUUAAUAGAAGUAUAAACAACAAGUCUCAUUGUGUGGCUACGAGUCGAAAUGAGAUGAGUUUAUAUGGAAUAGGUUAACCGUAAGACCUUGAGUUGAAAAACUCUAAAAUUAAGCUAGAAAUCUCUAGUUACGGUGGA